CACGUAGGGCGCGAGCGUUGUCCGGAAUUAUUGGGCGUAAAGAGCUCGUAGGCGGCCUGUUGCGUCCGCUGUGAAAGCCCGGGGCUUAACCCCGGGUCGGCAGUGGAUACGGGCAGGCUAGAGGUAGGUAGGGGAGAAUGGAAUUCCGGGUGGAGCGGUGAAAUGCGUAGAGAUCCGGAGGAACACCGACGGCGUAGGCAGCGCCCUGGCUGUGAAUAAAGCUGACACUGAGGCACAAAAGCUGGGGGAGCAAACAGG
rnacentral:rRNA from 1 species